CGUCUGGAAAGGCGUGCGAUACAGGGUGACAGCCCCGUACACAAAAAUGCACAUAUUGUGAGCUCGAUGAGUAGGGCGGGACACGUGGUAUCCUGUCUGAAUAUGGGGGGACCAUCCUCCAAGGCUAAAUACUCCUGACUGACCGAUAGUGAACCAGUACCGUGAGGGAAAGGCGAAAAGAACCCCGGCGAGGGGAGUGAAAAAGAACCUGAAACCGUGUACGUACAAGCAGUGGGAGCACGCUUAGGCGUGUGACUGCGUACCUUUUGUAUAAUGGGUCAGCGACUUAUAUUCUGUAGCAAGGUUAACCGAAUAGGGGAGCCGAAGGGAAACCGAGUCUUAACUGGGCGUUAAGUUGCAGGGUAUAGACCCGAAACCCGGUGAUCUAGCCAUGGGCAGGUUGAAGGUUGGGUAACACUAACUGGAGGACCGAACCGACUAAUGUUGAAAAAUUAGCGGAUGACUUGUGGCUGGGGGUGAAAGGCCAAUCAAACCGGGAGAUAGCUGGUUCUCCCCGAAAGCUAUUUAGGUAGCGCCUCGUGAAUUCAUCUCCGGGGGUAGAGCACUGUUUCGGCAAGGGGGUCAUCCCGACUUACCAACCCGAUGCAAACUGCGAAUACCGGAGAAUGUUAUCACGGGAGACACACGGCGGGUGCUAACGUCCGUCGUGAAGAGGGAAACAACCCAGACCGCCAGCUAAGGUCCCAAAGUCAUGGUUAAGUGGGAAACGAUGUGGGAAGGCCCAGACAGCCAGGAUGUUGGCUUAGAAGCAGCCAUCAUUUAAAGAAAGCGUAAUAGCUCACUGGUCGAGUCGGCCUGCGCGGAAGAUGUAACGGGGCUAAACCAUGCACCGAAGCUGCGGCAGCGACGCUUAUGCGUUGUUGGGUAGGGGAGCGUUCUGUAAGCCUGCGAAGGUGUGCUGUGAGGCAUGCUGGAGGUAUCAGAAGUGCGAAUGCUGACAUAAGUAACGAUAAAGCGGGUGAAAAGCCCGCUCGCCGGAAGACCAAGGGUUCCUGUCCAACGUUAAUCGGGGCAGGGUGAGUCGACCCCUAAGGCGAGGCCGAAAGGCGUAGUCGAUGGGAAACAGGUUAAUAUUCCUGUACUUGGUGUUACUGCGAAGGGGGGACGGAGAAGGCUAUGUUGGCCGGGCGACGGUUGUCCCGGUUUAAGCGUGUAGGCUGGUUUUCCAGGCAAAUCCGGAAAAUCAAGGCUGAGGCGUGAUGACGAGGCACUACGGUGCUGAAGCAACAAAUGCCCUGCUUCCAGGAAAAGCCUCUAAGCAUCAGGUAACAUCAAAUCGUACCCCAAACCGACACAGGUGGUCAGGUAGAGAAUACCAAGGCGCUUGAGAGAACUCGGGUGAAGGAACUAGGCAAAAUGGUGCCGUAACUUCGGGAGAAGGCACGCUGAUAUGUAGGUGAAGUCCCUCGCGGAUGGAGCUGAAAUCAGUCGAAGAUACCAGCUGGCUGCAACUGUUUAUUAAAAACACAGCACUGUGCAAACACGAAAGUGGACGUAUACGGUGUGACGCCUGCCCGGUGCCGGAAGGUUAAUUGAUGGGGUUAG
rnacentral:rRNA from 1 species